rnacentral:misc_RNA from 1 species
AACGCACAUGGCGCCCGCCGGUAAUCCGGCGGGCAUGCCUGUCCGAGCGUCAUUUCAACCCUCAGAACCCCUCUCUUGGGAGGGCGUUACUGGUGUUGGGGAACGAGCGCCCCCCCGUGGUGCCCGUCCCUUAAAUCUAUUGGCGGCUCUGGAGUCUGUCUCCCCUGCGUAGUACUGCAUCUCGCUUUGGUGACGUCCCCGGGCUGCUGUGGCUCCGCCACGAAACCCCCACUAGGUUGACCUCGGAUCAGGUAGGGAUACCCGCUGAACUUAA